rnacentral:lncRNA from 1 species
GGAUUUGCUACUGUCAUUGCUGUUUUCUCUUCCCCACCGGCCCUCUCCCAUCUCUCUUCUCUAAGAUGGCAGCCAGUAGCUCUGAGGUCUCUGAGAUGAAGGGGGUAGAAGACAGUUCCAACACCCACUCAGAAGGUCCCAGGCAUUCUGAAGAAGGAAUGGGUCCUGUCCAGGUUGUAGCAGAGAACCUAGACCAGCCAGAGGCCCUUCAGUCAGGCCCAGACACCACUGCAGCCCCUGUGGACUCAGGGCCUAAGGCUGAGCUGGCACCAGAAACCACAGAGACCCCAGUUGAAACCCCAGAAACAGUCCAGGCCACAGACCUCAGUGUAAACCCAGGAGAAGACUCCAAAACCUGCCCCAGCCCCAAAGAGGCAUGCCAAGAGCCGGCAUCCAGACCAGAGGUGAACAGAGAGGCUACAGCAGAGCAAGGGGCUGAGCAGCAGUCUGCAGCCCCUCCUGAGCCAACCUCAGAGCAGGCUUUGCAGCUAAAUACCCA